CAGCCGCCGCGGUAAUACAGAGGGUGCGAGCGUUAAUCGGAUUUACUGGGCGUAAAGCGUGCGUAGGCGGCUUUUUAAGUCGGAUGUGAAAUCCCUGAGCUUAACUUAGGAAUUGCAUUCGAUACUGGGAAGCUAGAGUAUGGGAGAGGAUGGUAGAAUUCCAGGUGUAGCGGUGAAAUGCGUAGAGAUCUGGAGGAAUACCGAUGGCGAAGGCAGCCAUCUGGCCUAAUACUGACGCUGAGGUACGAAAGCAUGGUGAGCAAACAGGAUUAGAUACCCGAGUAGUCCCUGUCUCUUAUAC
rnacentral:rRNA from 1 species